UGUUGGGAUCUUGUCCUCUACAUGACAAGUCUUGGUUCUCAUUUUUUUCCCCUUGUCCCUGCCCUCCCUUCACCCUCACCUCCCCUCCCCAUUUACAACCACUUUAUUUCCAUCUUUUCAUUUUCUCACAUUUUUUUCUUCUCCCUUAUUACCCUUCCACUACCCAUCGCACCUUCCCUACACCUUUAUCCCCUUGCUUCCCAUUUCACAAUAUCAGUUAUCUCAUUAGGAUUUUAUGUACAGUUUAUUCACACCAGAGAAGCUUCAUAUAUUUCUUAUACUUCAAUAAAUUAAAUAUUGUAUAAAAAAGGUUAUCGUAGCUCUCCUUCAGUGAAAAUUAACACUUAAAAAAAGACAGGCUGCAUCUUUGUCCGUUGUCCUGCUUUAUCUCUUGAAAGGGAAUCCACAAAGGAUCAAAAGGAAAAGAUUGUGGACAAACUGCUGACACUAUCAGGCUGUGUGCCACAUCAACUCAGGACUCUGAUUUCUUUGCUUUCAACGCAUACGAUCGUGUGCCAACUAGUGUCCCUGGCAGGUGGCUGCGCACGUCAUCUGUGGCACUCUACCUCUGAGGCAUGGCCCUGCUCAUCCCUGGUUCCAGGUGACAGGGUUGGGGUUUACUGGAGUCCUCCUGGAAGCUGAAACUGUCACUGCAGCCCUGCCACAGACACUUUCUGGCGGUUCAUGAUCAGCCGCAGGAUCACGAACUCCACAUGCGUGCCCUCCACACUUGGCUGGGCUCUCAUCUGCUCCAAUGCUGUGCCUACUGUUCAGCCUGUUCCUGAGGGAAAACCAAGUUCCAUGGACCUUGAGGUCGUGCACCCAGGAGCUGCAGGGUGCAGAGCGUGUGACCUCCAUCCUCCUGUGAAGGGGAUCACCUUCGCCCAAGAGAUGCAGGACAAACCUAUUGCUGCAGGUACAGCUAUUGUCAGAAGCACUGUCACUGACUACUUUGUUUUCCGGGUGCUUGAGAAUCUCAGACAAUGAUCCAGCCUCUACUUGUGGGCCGUUUGGAUUUAUAUCCGCUCUGGGCCCUGUGUGGCCACUUGUACUGCCUCGUUAAUCUAUGUGCUGAAGUCCAGAUGAUUCAGAGCAGAGCUGGAGCAGAGCUGAGAGGACUUUGAGAAGGUCUCUGAAGUGCAUGGACAUGGUUUUCUGGUCAGUACUUAUGUAACUCACAGUAAUCAUUUUGUUCUAGUUUCUCUACCUAACAUCAAGUUUUAUAAUUUAGUGUUUUUCCUGCAUUGUUUAAACAAAGCUCUUGAGGACCAGCUGUACCCUAAAUAGAUCUCUAACUUUAACCAAUUUUGAUUCAGGUAGAAAGUAAUUGUCAUACAGAGCUUCAGUUUAAGAAAAGUUGAGGCCUAUGUAAUAAUACCUUCUUGGCC
rnacentral:lncRNA from 1 species